ensembl:lncRNA
UCCUAUGGGGGUGGAUCAGGAUCCUAUGGGGGUGGAUCAGGAUCCUAUGGAGGAUCACAAGGAGGAUCCAGUUCAGGCUCAGGCAGACCUGGAUCCCAAGGGGGCAGUGGAUCGGGAUCCUAUGGGGGUGGAUCGGGAUCCUAUGGAGGAGGAUCGGGAUCCUAUGGGGGAUCACAAGGAGGAUCUAGUUCAGGCUCAGGCAGACCUGGAUCCCAAGGGGGAAGUGGAUCCGGAUCAGGAUCCCAUGGGGGUGGAUCGGGAUCCCAUGGAGGAGGAUCAGGAUCCUAUGGGGGUGGAUCAGGAUCCUAUGGAGGUUCACAAGGAGGAUCCAGUUCAGGCUCAGGCAGACCCGGAUCCCAUGGGAGCAGUGGAUCUGGAUCGGGAAAACCUGGAUCCCAAGGAGGCAGCGGAUCGGGAUCCUAUGGGGGUGGAUCAGGAUCCUAUGGGGGAGGAUCGGGAUCCCAGGGAGGAGGAUCAGGAUCCUAUGGGGGUGGAUCGGGAUCCUAUGGGGGAUCACAAGGAGGAUCCAGUUCAGGAUCAGGCAGACCCGGAUCCCAUGGGAGCAGCGGAUCCCAGGGGGGAAUUGGGUCUGGAUCAGGCAGACCUGGAUCCCAAGGAAGCAGCGGAUCAGGAUCCUAUGGGAGUGGAUCCAGCUCCUAUGGGGGGGGAUCAAGCUCCUAUGGGGACAGCUCAGGAUCCUAUGGGCUCCCGGAGUCCUAUGGGGGCUCAUCCCAAGGGGGUGGAUCCAGCUCCUAUGGGGAUGGAUCUGGCUCCUAUGGAGGAUCCAGUUCCUAUGGGGAUGGAUCCAGCUCCUAUGGGGGAGGAUCGGGAUCGGGUUCCUAUGGGGGUGGAUCGAGCUCCGGCUCCUAUGGGGGUGGCACCGGCUCCUAUGGGGGUGGCUCCGGCUCCCUCGGGGGCAGCCGCCGUCCCGGGUACAAGAACCCGGGGAUCCCGUUCAUCCCGGGGCUCCACGAUCCCGCCCGCACCGGGGGCUACAUCCCGGUGCGCAGGGAGCGGCCGUCGGGAUCCGGUGGCUCCGGCUCCAGGUCCGGGUCCGGGCAGGGAUCCGGUGGCUCCGGGUCCGGCUGCGGGGACUGCGCCGCUUAGGGGGCAGGCGGAGCCCGAAUCCCGACCCAUGGAUCCCAAUAAACGUGUUCCUAUGGCAGCAUCAGGCUCGUCCCUGCCCCUCGAUCAGCACCAACCGGAUGGACCGGAGCGGCCGGAUGCGGCCGUGGGUGGGAAUGGGGACAUGGGGAUAUCCAUGGGAUGGGGACAUCAGGAAUGGGGACAUGGGGAUAUCCAUGGGAUGGGGUUGGGGACAUCAGGAAUGGGGAUAUCCAUGGGAUGGAGUUGGGAGCAUCAGGAAUGGGGACAUUGGGAUAUCCAUGGGAUGGGGUUGGGAGCAUCAGGAAUGGGGACAUGGGGAUAUCCAUGGGAUGGGGUUGGGGACAUCAGGAAUGGGAUAGGAUGGGGACACCCAAAGACGGGAAUGGGGACACUGAGGACAUGGGGAAUGGGACACCUAUGGGAUGGGGACAUCAGGGAUGGAAUGGGGACACCCAGAAUGCUGGGAAUGGGGACAUUAGGAACAUAG